rnacentral:rRNA from 1 species
UACGAAGGGGGCUAGCGUUGCUCGGAAUCACUGGGCGUAAAGGGUGCGUAGGCGGGUCUUUAAGUCUGGGGUGAAAUCCUGGAGCUCAACUCCAGAACUGCCUUUGAUACUGAGGAUCUUGAGUUCGGGAGAGGUGAGUGGAACUGCGAGUGUAGAGGUGAAAUUCGUAGAUAUUCGCAAGAACACCAGUGGCGAAGGCGGCUCACUGGCCCGAUACCGACGCUGAUGCACGAAAGCGUGGGGAGCGAACGGG